UACGUAGGGUGCAAGCGUUAAUCGGAAUUACUGGGCGUAAAGGGCGCGUAGGCGGCCUUCUAAGUCGAACGUGAAAUCCCCGGGCUCAACCCGGGAACUGCGUCCGAUACUGGAAGGCUUGAAUCCGGGAGAGGGAUGCGGAAUUCCAGGUGUAGCGGUGAAAUGCGUAGAUAUCUGGAGGAACACCGGUGGCGAAGGCGGCAUCCUGGACCGGCAUUGACGCUGAGGCGCGAAAGCCAGGGGAACAAACGGG
rnacentral:rRNA from 1 species